rnacentral:rRNA from 1 species
GAAGGCUUUCGGGUCGUAAAACUCUGUUGUUAGGGAAGAACAAGUGCUAGUUGAAUAAGCUGGCACCUUGACGGUACCUAACCAGAAAGCCACGGCUAACUACGUGCCAGCAGCCGCGGUAAUACGUAGGUGGCAAGCGUUAUCCGGAAUUAUUGGGCGUAAAGCGCGCGCAGGUGGUUUCUUAAGUCUGAUGUGAAAGCCCACGGCUCAACCGUGGAGGGUCAUUGGAAACUGGGAGACUUGAGUGCAGAAGAGGAAAGUGGAAUUCCAUGUGUAGCGGUGAAAUGCGUAGAGAUAUGGAGGAACACCAGUGGCGAAGGCGACUCUCUGGUCUGUAACUGACACUGAGGCGCGAAAGCGUGGGGAGCAAACAGGAUUAGAUACCCUGGUAGUCCACGCCGUAAACGAUGAGUGCUAAGUGUUAGAGGGUUUCCGCCCUUUAGUGCUGAAGUUAACGCAUUAAGCACUCCGCCUGGGGAGUACGGCCGCAAGGCUGAAACUCAAAGGAAUUGA